CCUACGGGAGGCUGCAGUGGGGGAUAUUGCACAAUGGGGGGAACCCUGAUGCAGCGACGCCGCGUGGGUGAAGGAGUGCUUCGGCAUGUAAAGCCCUUUCGGCAGGGAAGAAGCAAGACGGAACUUGAAAAAGAAGCCCCGGUUAACUACGUGCAAGCAGCCGCGGUAAUACGUGGGGGGCAAGCGUUAUCCGGAUUUACUGGGGGUAAAGGGGGCGCAGACGGCGAUGCAAGCCAGGAGUGAAAGCCCGGGGCCCAACCCCGGGACUGCUCUUGGAACUGCGUGGCUGGAGUGCAGGAGGGGCAGGCGGAAUUCCUGGUGUAGCGGUGAAAUGCGUAGAUAUCAGGAGGAACACCGGUGGCGAAGGCGGCCUGCUGGACUGCAACUGACGUUGAGGCCCGAAAGCGUGGGGAGCAAACAGGAUUAGAUACCCGAGUAGUC
rnacentral:rRNA from 1 species